CAAUAGUAUAUAUUAGUGUUGUUGCAGUUAAAACGCUCGUAGUUGGAUUUUGGGAGGGUUUGUGUGGUCCGCCGCAAGGUGUGCACUGCAUGGAUUCUUCUUCCUUCCGAAGACGCGGCAUGCUCUUCAUCGGGUGUGUCGUUUGAUUCGGAAAUUUUACUUUGAAUAAAUAAGAGUGUUCAAAGCAGGCCUUCGCUUGAAUACAUUAGCAUGGAAUAAUGAAAUAGGACUUUGGUUCUAUUUUGUUGGUUUGCGCACCAAGGUAAUGAUUAAUAGGGAUAGUUGGGGGUAUUCAUAUUCAAUUGUCAGAGGUGAAAUUCUUGGAUUUAUGGAAGAUGAACUUAUGCGAAAGCAUUUACCAAGGAUGUUUUCAUUAAUCAAGAACGAAAGUUAGGGGAUCGAAGACGAUUAGAUACCGU
rnacentral:rRNA from 1 species